rnacentral:snoRNA from 1 species
AGGCCAUGGUGUGGGCAUUUUCUCAUUAACUCCUUCGUUCUCUCCCAAGCCUAAUGAAUUUGUUCACCUGGCGUUUGGGUGAAUCCAGUAAUGGCUCUUUUCAUGGUAU